CAAUAGCGUAUAUUAAAGUUGUUGCGGUUAAAAAGCUCGUAGUUGGAUUUCUGCUGAGAACGACCGGUCCGCCCUUUGGGUGUGUAUCUGGCUCUUUCUUGGCAUCUUCUUGGUGAACGUUGCUGCACUUGACUGUGUGGAACGCUACCCAGGACUUUUACUUUGAGGAAAUUAGAGUGUUUCAAGCAGGCAUACGCCUUGAAUACAUUAGCAUGGAAUAAUAAGAUAGGACCUCGGUUCUAUUUUGUUGGUUUCUAGAGCUGAGGUAAUGAUUAAUAGGGAUAGUUGGGGGCAUUCGUAUUUAACUGUCAGAGGUGAAAUUCUUGGAUUUGUUAAAGACGAACUACUGCGAAAGCAUUUGCCAAGGAUGUUUUCAUUNA
rnacentral:rRNA from 1 species